UGGAACUUAGAACAAUUAUUGAUAUAUGAUCAGCUCUCAGUAUGUGUAAACUAUGACAUGCAGGCCAAUUCACCUAGAAAGGCCUAUUUUCAAAAGCUCAUGUCCUCUGAAUUGAGGAACCACAGAUCAGAUCAGCCUCUUCAACCCCCCGCGAGGCUCCCAUUCAUGUAAGACACCCAUGGCUUUGUAAUGGCACCCAACGCUCUGGGCUGGCAUGAAAAUUGUGUGACUCACAUCAUGUGCCUCCCCAAGAAGAGUUUCUUAGCAGGCAUUUUGGAGGAAAAGAUUUGGAUCAGAAAUUCAGAAAUUACCUGGGCUCACAAAUAUAUGCCCCUCCAGCACCAUCCUGCAUUCUGCUUCCAAGAUACAUGAGCUUUCUGAAGAGCUGGUGAGAAUGCUGAAACUUCCUGGCCUUGGUUUCCCAUCUGGUAAAAUGAGGAAGACCAAAGCUUAACUCUCACAAGGAAUAUGCAGAUGAGGAAACCGAAGCUCUUGGGGUAACACGACUUGUGAAACUGCAUGCUACUCCUCAGUGGCAGGGUGGGGACUCUGGACAGAGGAACUGGCAAGGUCUUCUAGACCUUUGACGUGCAUAAACUGGCAGGUUUACAGAAUAACGAGGAAAACAAAGUGAAACAAAAGACUGUACCCGUGUGCUAAGAAUUUAUUACCCGCACAUCAAAAAACUUAUCCAUCACGAUCAAGCUGGCUUCAUCCCUGGGAUGCAAAGCUGGCUCAGCAUAUGCAAAUCAAUAAACAUAAUCCGUCACAUAAACAGAACCAAAGACAAAAACCACAUGGUUAUCUCAGUAGAUGCAGAAAAGGCCUUUGAUAAAAUUCAACAUCCCUUCAUGUUAAAAACUCAAUAAACUAGAUAUUGAUGGAACAUAUCUCAAAAUAAAAGAGCUGUUUAUGACAAACCCACAGCCAAUAUCAUAUUGAAUGGGCAAAAGCUGGAAGCAUUCCCUUUGAAUACUAGUACAAGCCUGUUUCCUAUUGUUCAAACUUCAGUGGAAAAUGAGACCAGAUGUUCAUAAGAAGAGCCUCAUUCUUGUGUACCUGGAGUUUGCUGGAGUGCAGUGGUGUGAUCACAGCUCACUGCAGCCUCAACCUCCUGGGUUCAAGCGAUCCUCCCACCUGUGCCUCCUGAGUAGCUGGGACUAUAUGAACACACUGCUAUGCCUAGCUUAUUUUUUAUUUUUUAUUUUUAGUAGAGAUGAGGUCUUGCCAUGUUGCCCAGGCUGGUCUCAAACUCCUGGUCUCAAGCUAUCCUUCCAGCUCAGCUUUCCAAAGUGCUGGGAUUACAGACACGAGCCACCACACAUGGUCAACUUUUUUUUAAAAAAAAUACCAAAUCAAUAAAGUCAACUGAAUUGAAUUUAACUCAACAUCUAUUGUGUAUGAUUUGUAAUAUUUUUAAAUUUUUCCAAAAUUUUAA
rnacentral:lncRNA from 1 species